rnacentral:rRNA from 1 species
UGGGGAAUCUUGCACAAUGGACGAAAGUCUGAUGCAGCAACGCCGCGUGGGGGAUGAAGCUUCUCGGAGUGUAAACCCCUUUCGACCCGGAAGAAAGCCCGCAAGGGUUUGACGGUACGGGUAUAAGAAGCCCCGGCUAACUACGUGCCAGCAGCCGCGGUAAUACGUAGGGGGCCAGCGUUGCUCGGAAUUACUGGGCGUAAAGGGUCCGUAGGCGGUGUGGCAAGUCGGGAGUGAAAUCCCUGGGCUUAACCCAGGGGCUGCUUCCGAAACUGCCGUGCUAGAGUGUGAGAGAGGCGAGUGGAAUUGCGGGUGUAGCGGUGAAAUGCGUAGAUAUCCGCAGGAACAUCUGAGGCGAAAGCGGCUCGCUGGAUCACAACUGACGCUGAGGGACGAAAGCUAGGGGAGCAAACAGGAUUAGAUACCCUGGUAGUCCUAGCCCUAAACCAUCAGGACUUGGGGUUUGCCCUGUACGGGGCAAGUCCCGUAGCUAACGCGUUAAGUCCUGCGCCUGGGGAGUACGGUCGCAAGACUG